UUCAAACCGACCUACCAUAGUCCAUUCAAGAGAGUUUUGCAUAUCCCAUUGGGAGUGUUUGUCAUUGUACAGCUAACAGCGCGUGCUGAGGGAUGUGGGAAUUCAGAGGAAGGGUGGCUUUGUUCUGUCUCUCUGUGUCCGGUGCUGGUUUAAUCCUCCUCCCACUUACCUCACCACUAAGAUCCCCUUUUGUAGAGCAACAACCCUUAAGUGUUAACCACUCAUCUCAGCCCUUCCAGAUGAAGCCUGUGUGUCAUGAAGCUGGAGACAUUCAGAUGCCCAUUUGGAUAGAUCUUCAGCCUGGUCCACACCCCCUCUCCAGCAACACAAGUUCUGCGUGUCCUGACGCCACUGUUCAGCCCUGCACACAGAAGAAGAGCCUUUUCCUGAGCCUUGCUGAGGAAUCUUCACUUCAUACAGUUGUU
rnacentral:lncRNA from 1 species